GUACUUAAAUGAUCCUAGAGGUAUCAGCUCCACCUGACCCUGUCAAUGUGUACAGCCCGGUGAGUAUGUGAGGAAAUCUGCAGGAUAUCACAGCUACUACACUUAACACUAUGGAGGAUAAUCGACGAUGGAUCUGACAUACGUAGCAGCAGGUACUACCUGAUAAUGGAUGUUGUCUGUGGGGACGAAGGAUUCGGAGCACGACGCGCUGCCUUGCUUCUCCCAAGCCUCGCCGGGGGAGUCGGCGAGCUGGCUCUGCAGCUCGAGGACCUCGUUCUGGAGCUUCUUGAUGUGAUCGAUUGCGUCCGACAGGGUGGACUCCUUGCUCAUCUGAAAACAACAGGCAAGCAAAAACCAUGGGAACAUGUCAGGAAUGACAACUGAAUUAAUUUUCUUGCCAAGACGAAGCACAUCAGAUUAUGAUUUUGCUCCUUCCGUGUGCUCGCACAAAGGAGACAGAUACUACUUCAUUAUUCAGGAGGAGAAAGAGAAACAAAUUCGUGCCUAAUUUCGGUGGCGUGAUCAUUCAGUGCAAUUAGUAAUCUCUGCUGGGAGGGAGGAAGCAUGCAGAA